rnacentral:lncRNA from 10 species
GCCUCACUAAAGCACUUUGCAGAUAUUUACUCACUACUGCUCACAACCCCUGUGAGGUAGGUACUAGUUAUCUGCAUCUUACAGAUGGGGAAGGGGCACUUGGAGGUAAAGUGACCUGCCCGAGGUUUCCCAGCUCCUAAGUGAUGGAGCCUGCCAGAACCAACCAUCAGGAGGGACUUCGCAGGUGAAAGAAGGUUCUUCUGCUCACUGGGGGUACUAAGAAGAAAUUCCUAGUCCAUAGCUGGAGCAAGUGAAACCCUUCUUUGCCUUUCACUACUUGCUGAUACCUCCUCAACAGAAGUCAGCUCAGAAUUGCUGGAAUGAACAUCUCAUGAGAACGGCCUCCCCUUCCCUUCCCACCGCCAUUGCCCUGCUUUGGGCCUCAUCAUUUCUCAUCCUGACCGCAGAGACACUCUCCCGUCUGGUGUCCUUCCCUGCAGACUCUCAUCCACCGAGUCCAGCCUUCAUGCCGCUGCCAGAGUGAUCUUUUAAAAAUGCAAGUCUGACUGCUGUAUCCCUCCCUGUUCAGAACCAUCGGAUGGGUCCUUGUUUCCUUCCGAAUCACGAGCACACUCUGGCAUGGUGUAGUGGGGCUUCUUUGGUUUGAUCUCUGGCUACAUCUCCAGCUUCUCCUCCAGCUAUGGAAUUUGGCACCUCCUCCUGUCUCCCCCAGCUCUCCCCUGUCCCCUUACCCUGUUCUCUCUGGGCACACCAUGCUGCCACUUUCUCAGACUUCCCACUCUGGUCUCUGAAUGUUCCACCAGACUAGCAUUCAUCCUGGGAGGCACAACCAAGGACCAUCUUGUCCUUAAGGUCCUUUCCAUCCCACCUUCCCAGCACUUCACAGCCAGGAGACUGGUCCCUGCUCUCCUUUUCAUCCUGCUGUGUGCUGGCCAGUCCUCUGGAGCACUGAUCACACACUGUGGCCUUGCUUUUUUUUUUUUUUUUUUUUUUUGAGAUGGAGUCCUGCUCUGUCACCAGGCUGGAGUGCGGCGGCAUGAUCUUGGCUCACUGCAGCCUCUGCCUCCUGGGUUCAAGCAAUUCUCCUGUCUUAGCCUCCCAAGUAGCUGGGACUACAGGUGCCCACCACUAUGCCCAGCUAAUUUUUGUAUUUUUAGUAGAGAUGGGGUUUCACCAUGUUGGCCAGGAUGGUCUCGAUCUCUUGACCUCGUGAUCCGCCCGCCUUGGCCUCCCAAAGUGCUGGGAUUACAGGCGUGAGCCACUGUGCCUGGCCGGCCUUGCUUUUUUAUAUACUGACCUUCCCCAAACGAUGUGGCUCUCCCUGAGGUUGAAGAUCAGGCUUACUCUUGCAUCUCCAUGGCCUGCACACACUGGGAGUUGAUAAAUGCAAGGGUCUGUUAUUUCUGCAUGAAUGAAUGGAUUCACUUUCCUUGCUAUACCAUAUACUCUUCUAAAAGUUACCAGGCUUUCUGGAACUUAUAUUAAGAAAUUCAGAUACCAGCAAUAAUAUCCAGGUAACUCAGCCUCUGCCCAAAUUGCUUGAUGAGAUUACCUGUGUCUCAGCACUAGGACCACAAUUUUGGUUUCUUUUCCAUUUUCUCCAUGCCCUGACACAGUGUUGGAUAUCCACUACCUGUUUAAAAUAUAUGUGCUGAUUUGAGUUGGUCAGGUGUUGGGGGUGGGAUACGACAGAGAAAAUGGGGUCCCAGCUACUGAGGACGCAACACAUGAACAGGGAAACGGGACAGAUCCUCUUGGGAAAAAGCCCCACUGGGGCCAAUUCCGGGGCCUUUUCCUCCACAGCCCGCAGAGAUGCCUGUGCACUUCCCCCAAGAAGCUCCUCCAAGUUACGUGACCCUGAUGAAGGUCUUCCUUCACCAUAUGAUUUGUUACAGGAAAAAUAAGGAAGGAAUUUGGAAGCAGUUAAGGUCACUUUGUGCCGAGACUAUCGCACUAUAUCAUGUUAAAUAAAAUGUCAGGUGAUAGUUAUUGAGUCAUUCUUUUCUAAUGGUUUUAUGCACAGUAGAUAAUUUUAUUAUCUACAUAUGAUUUGGAUUUGAAUAAAUUAUCAGAUUGUUAAGAAUUUAAUAAGAAUAUGUAAAUACAUUUGUAUUCCCUAUUUAAGUCAACCUAAGAAUGAAAUGAUGAGAAUAAUGGUAUUUUGUGAGGAUGGUGGGGGCUUUUUGGUAGAUGACCUCCUCUGAUCUCCGCCACAAUCCUGGAACACAGAUAUUACAUCCCCUUCUUACAAAUGAGAAAACUGAAGCUCAGACAGGUUAAUUUGCCUAAGGUCUCCCAUCCCAGAAUACGGGUUCAAAUUUUAGAGGUUUUUCACCUUAUGCUACCUAUAGAUAUUCAAAUCUUAAUUUAUUCACAUGAAAUGAUGGGUUAAAUCGUUUACAAAAUUAUCAACCAUAAGAUUCUGUUGACAAAUACCCAUGAAAUAUUUACUUUUAAAAAUGUCCUGUCCAUGCAUAUGAAUUUCAGUUUUAAACAUGAAAAGUAUUUUAGCUUUUAGGUUGCAAAAAAAAAAAAAACCAAAAUCCCAAAACAACCCACCCACUAUAUGGAGAGUAUACAAAAUGAACACAGGCUGAUGAUGUACAUCAGUGUUUCCGUAUAGUAACAGGAAACCUGGAACGGUAUUUUUGGGGUGGAGGUAAUUUGGUAAUGUAUGCCCAGAUAAAAAUUAUGCAAGCCCGGUGAUCCACUGAGGCCUCUUGGGGGCUCUAUGGGUGCAGUGACAGGGACGCAGGAGUGCAGGGAGGGGCUCUGGGUUGCCAGAGACCUGCUGUGGAGAAGUUUUCUGCCCUCAAUAAGCCCUACAACUGUACACAGUUUGGUUUGAGUCCUAUUUUCAUCAUCCGCAAAAUUAGCCUACUUAUGCCUUUGUGGUGUGUCAGCAUUGAAUAUUGGGGUGUCGGCCAAGUGCUUAGCCAGGAGCCUGUCUGCGGCAUGGCUCAGCCAGGCGGGAUGUGACAUUCCCUCGUGGUCAGUGAGGCAUGCUGUCCUGGCUAUGACGAUUGGGAGGAUGUGAAACUGAAGCUGGGUGCUGGCGAAUCAUGGAGGCAGCUGGGAACCUCAGUGUCUCAGGCUCAGUUCCUCAGCUGGGAAUGAGAAAAGGGUGUGGCUUAGGAGAGGGGUAAGCCUGAUGUCUAAAACCGCUUUCCUCUCAUGGGUGAGCAAGUUGAAAAGCCAGAUUCUACCAGGGAGGUGGCACAGGACGCCUUGGCUGUGCUCCCGGAUGUGUGGGGCUGUUUCAUCACACAGUUGCAUGGGACUUGCUUGUGUGCUCAACUUUCCGGGAUGUCCUGAGACUGGACUUUCCAGUUUCCAAGAUUCAGUCCCAUUGUCAAAGCCUAAUAUCUGAUUUUUUGAUUUGAUUAUAUGGUGUAGAGAAGUGGAAAAAUCCUCAAGUUUGGGUCAUUAAACAUUGUAAAAUAGGGCCAGGUGCAGUGGCUCACACCUGUAAUCCAAGCACUUUGGGAGGCUGAGGCGGUUGGAUCAUUUGAGGUCAGGAGUUCAAGACCAGGCUGGCCAACAUGGUGAAACCCCAUCUCUACUAAAAAUACAAAAAUUAGCUGGGCGUGGUGGUGGGCGCCUGUAAUCUCAGCUACUCCAGAGGCUGGGGCAGGAGAAUCGCUUGAACUCAGGAGGCAGAGGCUGCAGUGAGCCAAGAUGGCGCCACUGCACUCCAGCCUGGGCAACAGGGCCAGACUCCCUCUCAAGAAAAAAACAAAAACAAAAACAAAAAAACCAAAAGAACCAUUGUAAAAUAGAAAUGGAUAUGGGGAAGAGAGAGGGGGAGAAGGCAAAGCAGGAAGGAGGAGGCAGGAAGGGCAGAGCUGGCACCAAGGCAGGCCCUGGGCUGGAUGCCCAGGAGUGUGGGCAGAGGGGGUGCAGCACUGAGAGGCGGACUGGAAGCUUCCAUUGCCAAGCUCAUGACAAAGAAUGGGAGGCAGGGAGGAGGCCCACAGAUCUUGCUGAGUGCUAAGCGCCUGCACCCCUGCCCCGAGCUACACCUUGGUGCCACUGUUGACAGUCAGCCCAAAGCCUCCAGGGAGAUGUUCACCAGUGUCUCUCAGGGACUUGGGCUUCCUUCCCACCAAGGAAGAGGGAGAGAGACUAGGGCUGCCCUCCACUGUGAAGGACCCUGCUAAUUAUUCAUGACAUCCCCGCAGAGUGGCUGGACUGCCACAGCUUCCCCUGUGCCCAUCCUCAAAGACAGCCUCAGAAGUGGACAUCCGUCUUUCAGGAGGGGCUUAGAGGAGCUCUCCCAAGGACGAGCAUGUUGUUUCCCCCCGCAGCCUUGAGUUUUGAAGAGUGAAGCGGGGGUGGUUAGUGAUUCUAGGUUUAAUGCUUCCACCCGAUUGCCCAUUUCAUCACACUCCUCAGUAUUAUGACAUUUGGAUUAUUUUUUAAUCUUCUCUUCCCCUUUUUGUUGUUCUGCUGUUGAACCGAUUAUGCAGAACUGUGUGUUGAUGUCUCUGUGGCACCUUCCCUCCAGGGAUGCAGCUCUGUUUUCCAAACACCCCGCUUAAUCCUCUUAGGAGGGAGGAUGCACCGGGGUGCUCACCCUGUCCGUCAGGGCCGGCAGAGACGGACGCUUUACAGGUGUUUGUUAACCUGGACCAUGCUGGACGGGAGGCUUGGAGGCACCAAGAUGCCAAAUCUCUUACCCAUCCCUCCAGCCAGGCGUCUCAAGUGGCUAAAGAAUAAAUGCAUGAAAAUUAAGAGCCAGCUCUGCCUGCGAAAGAGAACAGGAGCAAGCUGGCUGUUGGCUGUCAUCUGGAGUCACCUACUGGGAAGUGCCGAAUCACCCCAGACCAAGGACAGGAAGGAGGCUUGGUCUUCUGGUUGAGUGAGGAAGAGGUUUCAGUUUGGUGAUGGCAACGUCCUUAAGACUUCACUUGCUUCCCUCUCUCUGUUCUUUUGAGAGCGGGUCUCCACCAAGCAUUUUAGCAGGUAAAAAAUCUAGCUAGAAUUUAAUCAUAUUAUUUUGUUUUUAUUUAUUUUGAGGUUGUAACUGCUUUAAGGUCUUAUAGCCAGUAAUAACGGUUUCCUAUUCAUGUUAGGAUGUUUAUUUAGCAAACGCUUAUAUAGCACUUACUCUGUGGAAGAUCUGUUUUAAAUACCUUAAAAAGAGAAACUGUUUUUUCUCUCUCUGUCAUUCUCAUUCUCUCUCUCUCUCUCUUUUUAUUUUCUUUGUGGUAGGGUCUCACUCUGUCACCCCAGGCUGGAGUGCAGUGGCAGGAUGGCAGCUCACUGCAGCCUCGACCACCCUGGCUCAAGCUAUCCUCCCACCUCAGCCUAAGAGAAACUCUUGGAACGGAAAACCAAAUACCACAUAUCCUCAGUUAUAAGUGGGAGCUAAAUGAUGAGAACACGUGGACACAAAGAGGGGAACAGCAGACACCGAGGCCUACUUGAGGGUGGAAGUUGGGAGGAGGGAGAGGAGCAGAAAAGAUAACUUUUGGGUACUGGGCUUAAUACCCGGGUGAUGAAAUAAUCUGUACAACAAACCCCCAUGAGAUGAGUUUUCCUGUGUAACACCGAACCUAAAAUAAAAGCUAAAAAUAAAAUUAAGUUAAAAG